UUUGUCAAAUUUGGUACUGUAUCUGGAGUAUAUUUGUGUAAAAAGUUGGAUAUCCAAUUAUUGCUAGAGAAACAAUUAUUAUUAGAAUAUAAGUUCUUAAAUUUCCUCAUUUUUGUCCAAAUCUGUUUCAUUGGCGUUAACCUAUUUAUGGUGGAGCAAAAAUCUGUCCAGGAUUUACGACGUUCAAGUCUUAAUAUACAUUUUUUCUUUGCUUGAGCUUGCUUAAAAUGAAUGUAGUUUUGGAUAUUGCAAUUUGAUUUGAAUAACAGAUAAGCCUGCUUGCAAUCUUCUACCACUUUAGUACAUUUUGCCCAUUCCACCAGGGAAGUUGUCGCUUUCUUUUAGGUAGAUGAAUAAUAUUGUUACAGUGAUAGUUGGUUUUAGGUACUGAAUUUUCUACCGCUCUAAGAACUAUGGAACAGAAGUUAUUGUAAGACUUCUGUAGAUUACAAUUAUUUAUUUCAAAUUGUUUUAACAAGUCAUUUACUAAGUUCUCAUAUUGGUUCCAAUUUACUAUUUUCAGAUUAUUGUGUGGAGGAAUGUUGGAUGGAAUUGAAGAAGAUUCAGUUUCCGACACUACCAUAGAAAAUUUUGUGAUUGUAGGCAAGUGAUAGCUGCCCAAAGAGUCCUGAUGAACUUGCCAUUCACAGCACAGGAAUAAUGAAGAUGGAUGAUACUAUUGUUAGAUCUAGUCCAUUUGGUCUCCUAGAAUUAGUACCCACUGUAGUUGGUUGAUCAUUAUUUAAGAGCAUUAAGUCAUUAUCGUCCAUUACAUCCAUGAUGUCUCUACCUUUAGAAUUUGUUCUAUUACAACCCCAAAUGGUAUGGUGAGCAUUAAAAUCACCAGCAAUUAUUAGUGGUUUUGGAAUACUAUGCAACAGUCUAUUAAAUUUAGAUUUGUCAAAGUUAGGUACACUGUUGCCAGGACUAUAAAAGCUAACAAUUGAGAUGUCUUUUUGUUUGUAUUUAAUUUUGAUUGCUACAUUUUGCAAGGAGUUAUCAGAAAAUGUUUCUAACUUUUGAAAAUAAAUGCCAUUUCUAACAAAAAUUGCUACACCAUUGUGAUCAUUACCACAAUCAUUUCUUAUUAUUGUAUAACCUCUGAUAGAAAACUGUAUAUUUGGUUUAAGCCAAGUUUCUGAUAUAAGUGCUAUGUGUAUGUCCUGCUCAUAAAGUAGGUUUUGAAGCUCAAGUCUGUUACUCAACAGACUUUGAGCAUUCCACUGUACUAUGUUAAGUUUGUGACAGUUGAAUGUGACAUUUUAUUUUUAAUUUGUAUGGUAUCUUUAAUAGCUGAACUAAUUGCAUGUGAGCUAAUGCUUUGAUUCUGUGUUUUAUUUAGUGAAAUGACUUUGAUUAUUGAUUCUGUGAUUAGGUUCAUUGCUGCUGGAUUGGACAAAAGUAAGCGAAGAGAAUAACGGCCCUGCACCUCCAAUACUGUGGUGUGAAGUGCCCCAGGCUUUGUUUUUCUCUGAAUAUCAAAUAGUUGGUACCUUGGAAUUAUUUCAGCUAAUUUGUCCAAAUCUCUGGUGACACCAAAAACUGCCAAAUCACUCAAGAUGAAACUGACCUAAAAGCAAUGUCCAUGCCUCACACUGGAAAUUGAUCUGCUAUGAAGCGAAGAUCUUGCAUUAAUGGAAGAGGUAAAGGAAUUUGAAGGCCUAAUUGCUAAAUCUACUACGCACGUUUUUUUUUUAUUUAUUUCAUGUAACACGUACAUAUAUUUCAUUUUAACCAUUUUAGUCUAAUUGAUUAAUAAAUCUUCGGUUAAAUCUAGAUAGGUAGAAAAAGCCUAUAUAUAGCUGGUUGAAAAAACGAAACUCAGUUCUGAUUUUGGAUUUUACUAGUUAAGGUUUUGUCUUUUUUUAAUAAUAUAAACAGAUUGUGAUUGUGUUAUUAUUGAGAAAAGGAUCCAAUUUAUUGCAAUUAAUAAUGUGCCUAGUAGUACUGCCAACAAGCCGCUUAAUACAAUAUGUACUAUUAUUAUACCAUAAUAAUAUAUAGGAUGGUUUCCAAUAAUAGUAGUUAAAGAAUAACAUUAAAAAUAAACUUACUUGACUAAUACGCAAAAUAAAUUUAAUAUCUCAUAAAUGAUGGGGUAAUAAUAUAAUUAGAUUAGCGAGACGAGAAGCGGCUAUUUUAUAUAGAUCCAAAGGUUUCCAAUAAACAUAUUUUAAGAAUAACAUUAAAAAUAAACUUACUUGAAAACAGUUAAUAUUAUCUGCUAUGUGAUGGGGUAAUAAUAUAGUUACAUUAGCGAGACUAGAAGGGGCUACACUACAUACAUCAGUUACAAGUUUUAACUUGUUUACAUACAAAAAACCUUAUUAAUACAGUUUUCACUGCGAACGUUUAUUACAUUACUUCCAUUUUCGCGUCUAGCUUAUAUUCGUCCUCCCCGGGUCCAUAUGAAACGCCAGUUUUUAUUUCUUCCGAGCUUUUCCCGCGCUAAAUAAAAAAGAUUUAGAUUCGUUGGCGACACUUGUUCAUUAAUGUAGAAACGCCGUGACUGCCCUCCCACUCCGGUACCACUGGUGUCCGCGGCACGUCGAACCCGAGCAGCAUGCAAUAGUUCGUCUCGUAGAUGUCUACGAGUGAGACGCACUGCAAUCGGCCGCGCUCGGGCAUGCUCGCCGGUGGUCGACUCAGUCAAGUGCCGCGCUCCUCGACGAUACACGUUCACAAUAUCGCGUUCGUCUAUAGUAAUUCCGACCUUCUGGGCGAGUGUUAUCGUCACGUGUAACAAGUUUUCUGCACUGCUUUCGUUUACACCGGUGAUCUUGACGUCAUUUAAAAGAUUUUCCUGAUCGCAUACAUUUAUUUGUUGUUGCAAAACCUCAAUGCAUUUUCUAUUUUGCAAGACUUGCUCGUUAGCCACCUCUAAUGAACACGAAGCGUCUUCGAGCUGUGAUACUCGCUCCCCUACGCUAUCCAACUGUGUGCUCAAAGUUGAUACAAACGCUGACAGGCGGGACAUCUCUGCCACUGCCCUUCAGCCAAAUCCGCUCAUGGAUACGCUCUCUCACCAACAACCUACACAACACCCGAUGGAUGAAUGUCUCUAGCUGUAGAGAGUCGAAAGAAGCGAUACCUGCACUGUCGCCCAAACUGAUACGUAGAGUUAUCAGCCUCAACAGACGUGACAUCCGUAUGGUGGGCACCCUAACGGGUCACAUAUCACUAAACAAGCGCCUUUUCACAAACGGCGUAUCGGACAGUCCUAAGUGCAGAGGCUGUCUAGCCGAGGACGAAACGGUCACUCACGUAAUCCUGGAGUGGGCGGGGGUGGCCAACCAACGGGCUAAAACCUUAACCAAUACGAGGUCGCUCCAGGAAGUCUGUGAACACCCCAGGAAUUUUCUGAACUUCUGGAAGGAGCUGGGCUGGUUGGAGUAACUGGCCAAUACUGCACGCAAAAUGGACCUAUACUAUUGGUUUAAUUGCGGAAACAGGAGCCCAUAUAUACCAUACCAUACCAUGCCAUGCCAUACCAUACCAAGUGUCAUGCAAAUUUCAAAUACAAGUUGUAUGCAAUGUUUUCAAAAUACAAAAACAUAAAACUUGUCGUAGACAAAAUUUGAAUGAAACUUGACUGAUGAAAUUUUUUGUCACCUACGAGGCGGCACUAAAAAUUUCGGGAAUCAAGGCAGUGGCACAACAUUACUAUUUAAAAAUGUAUUUAUUGCUUUUAGAAGUAUUCUCCGCGAAAUUUGACACAUUUUUCCAUACGAUGGAACCAAUUAUUGAAGCAACCAUUCCAUUCGGAAGUUGGGGUCUCCAAAAUGGCCGCUUUGUAGGCGUCCACAGCUUCUUCAAGUGAUGAAAAUCUCUGACCACGCAAUUUAUUCUUUAUUUUAGGGAAAGUAUAGAAAUCAUUAGGGCUUAGGUCGGGGCUGUACGGCGGAUGGUCUAAUAAUUCUAUGUUUUCUUGAUCUAAAAAUUCUUUUGUUCUGUUUGCGGUGUGAGAACUCGCAUUGUCGUGAUGGAGGAUGAUGCGGCGGUUGCAGUUCUCUUUACGGAGUUCAGAAACGAACUGUGGCAAACAAAUGCUAGCAUACCAUCCUGCAUUAACCGUUCUUUGUCCUUCAACGAACAAUUUUUGUUGGCUUUAAUUAAUUUUCGAACACCCAAACUCAUGACUGGUUUUUUAUUUUGGGUUCGUACGCGUAUAUCCAGGAUUUGUCACAUGAUACUUUUUUUUUGAGAGGAGGAAAUACUGUUACGUAUUUACGCCCCGGUACGGGGCGUAAUAUGUCGGACUCGAGUGUCCGCGUAAGCGGACGCCCCAUACCGACUAAAACCUCCUCUGUGCUGUUAGCAGCCCUGGAUUUCACAGCGAAGUAGGACGUGGGCCGUGGAGGCCGCAAAGACUACGCAACAACAGUCGCGGGCCGUCUCCUAAGGAGACUCGAACCUCAGACCGGCUGUGUGCUUAUGGGAAGGAGAGAGGAUGAAAAUGAAGAUUAAAUGAAGAUGAAAAGAUGAGAAGAACACACUCGCCGGCGAGUGUGGUGAUGUUUAGUGUAAUGUAUGUAAGUGUGUGUGUAUGUGUUUAUGAUUGUAUGUAUGUAUGUUUGUAUGUGUGUAAGUAGUGUAAAUGUUAGUGUGCAUGUAUGUUUGUGUUUGUGUCACAUGAUACGAUGUUGUAUACAGCAUUUGAGGAUCCUGCGUGGAAUUUUUCGAGAGUUCUGACGCACCAAGUAACGCGAGCCGCUUUUUGCUCUUCACAGAGCAAAUGCGGUAUCCAUCGGGAAAACAACUUUUUUACACCUAAUUGUUCAUGCAAGAUUAUUUGCAUUUGACUCAUGCCAAUGUCUAAAGUUGCCUGAAUUUCGCGGUAUGUCACAUGUCGAUCUUCCUCAAUCAGUUUACGCACAGCAUCAACGUUUUCUUUGGUGACUGCAGUUUUUGGAUGACCUUGACGGGGAUCAUCACUGAGCUUGACACGUCCACUUGAAAUUCAGCAAACUAGCGAUAAAUUGUGGUUUUGGAUGGGGCUUCAUCACCAAAUGCAGAAAUCAUCCGUUCAACACACUGUUUUUGUGUUAAACCACUUCGAAAGUCAUAAUAAAUCAUCGCUCUAGAAUUUAUUCGAGUCUAUUCCAUUUUCUCAACAACUAAACAAGUUUGAUAAGACCUUGUAACAAAACCGAGAAUCUUUUAAAAUAAAUAAAUGGUAUUCGAUUUUUAAA